CAAACCAAAGCUGGCGACCGGCGCACGGGUGAGUAACACGUAUCCAACCUGCCUCAUAUUCGGGGAUAGCCUUUCGAAAGAAAGAUUAAUAUCCGAUAGCAUAUAUUUCCCGCAUGGGUUUUAUAUUAAAGAAAUUCGGUAUGAGAUGGGGAUGCGUUCCAUUAGUUUGUUGGGGGGGUAACGGCCCACCAAGACUACGAUGGAUAGGGGUUCUGAGAGGAAGGUCCCCCACAUUGGAACUGAGACACGGUCCAA
rnacentral:rRNA from 1 species